UACGGAGGGUGCAAGCAUUAAUCGGAUUUAUUGGGCGUAAAGGGCGCGUAGGCGGAUAUGCAAGUCAGAUGUGAAAUCCUGGAGCUCAACUCCAGAACAGCAUUUGAAACUGCUUAUCUCGAGGGUAGGCGGAGAAAAUAGAAUUCCACAAGUAGCGGUGAAAUGCGUAGAUAUGUGGAAGAAUACCGGUGGCGAAGGCGAUUUUCUAGCUUACACCUGACGCUGAGGCGCGAAAGCAAGGGGAUCAAACAGG
rnacentral:rRNA from 1 species